ACAGAAAUUAUAUUCACCUCGAUGCCCCCACACAUUAACAAGCCUGGAUCAGGUCCCCAUCCCGCCAUCCCCGAGGAGGCUGCACGUGGACAGGAAGCUGGGCUGUUCCUGCAAAGUUCUCACGGCGACCGCCAUCUUCUCCCUGCGGCAGGCUUGAGACUGCUUUACAGGCCGAGCCGGGCUAUGCCGCGCCGCCGAGGCGCGAAAGGACUGACAGCCGGGCUCAGCCAAUGACGAUGAGCGUUGUCUUCCGGCCUCAACCACUCAGCGACCGGAAGGGGGAAGAACCUGCAGCCUUUGUGACUCUGAGCCAAUGAAAAGUCAGCCAGGCAGUCAUCUCCCUCCCCAGUUAGCUGCGGGUGCCUGGAUCCCGCUGCUAGCGCAGAGUCGGGGCGGGUUUCACAAUCCCUGAGUUCUCGGAGACUUAGGCUCGCGAGUCUGCAGUUCUGGCAAGGGGAGCGCGGAGUUUUCUAGGCCUUUUAACCUAUGAUGUAAUGUGCCUUACACCGUUUUAACGUGAUCACAUCAGAGUGGGACUUA
rnacentral:lncRNA from 1 species